AGACUGCGUUUUUAUGUCCUGCUGGAAUAAAUGUAAACACAAGUUAGUUUUCCAACAAACCGUUACCCACAAAGCUUCAAAACUUUGACAUCCCAGGUCUGUUACUAAAUCGACCUUUUUCUAGUAGAAGAAAUAACGGGCUUCAAUAAUUAUUGGAAUAUGGUGACUAAACGGAUAAGGUCCGAAUAUAUGAAGAAAUUUAAGGAUCCAAAAUGGGAAACAUACUCCAAGUGUUAUGAGGAUUUGGUGAGCUACAGAUUGUCAAGGCGAAUGUUAGAGCAGGCACACAACGCGUGGUUUUGGGAUGAAUGUGAAAGCGACACAGAAUCCAGCGGCAAAUGUACACCUCAGGAGAGAACUAAAGACUACAGGUUGGAGAAGGAUCCAGCAGAGACAGCACUGCUUGAAGAGGUUGGGGCAAAAGAGAGAAGAGACCCUGAAACAAGCCAGUUCAGAGAACAACUAACAGAAGAUGUCGAACCUCAGGAAAAGGAGGAAGAGAAUGUUCUUCCACCUGUUGCCCCUGUCAUCACACCGGAAAAGUAUCAACAUGUUCAGAGCAAAACGAAAAGCAAACCAAGACAUUCAUACAAGUCAACCCGAAGUAAAGAUAAGCAUCACAUCACCAAAGACAGUGAAAAAGAAAGCAGGCAUCCUUUUGCUAUGUAUGGCUCAGGAGAGAGGCAGGCGGAUAUGGCUUCGAAAAGAACACACAAUGUUGGUCCAGCUGCAUCAACCAAGGAGAUCCAUGAGUCAGCACUACGAGCAAAAAACAGACGGGAGGUUGAGAAGCAAAUGAAGAGAACGGACAAGAGAAAAGUAAAAUCAGCCAACUUGGAAAAGGUUAACAAAAGCAAGCUUGUCCCCGAGUAUAACCCUUGGAUGACAGAGUACAUGCGCUGCUUCACUGCUAGGACACAGUAAAUCUCUGAGAUAGCCUGCAACAUUCCUUCCAGUCACAGGUAGUGAUGUGCAUCCAGAUUGUGGUCAUAAAAAAUUCAAAUGACAAGGUGACAUUUUUGGUUUGUGCUAUUUAUUUGAUUUUAUUUGAGCAAUUUCUUGUCAUGUUUGUUGACAGAGUUUUAACAAACAUCAGGGACCAGAUUUUAUACAGCAUUUUAAAGUCAAUCAUCCACCACAGCAUCCCUUUUCAAUUUUUGGGCUCAUCGAGUGCAGUAACCCACAGCAGAUGCUUACUGCUAAGGUGUGGAUUGGGUCACUACUGAUUUCAGGUUUUUGAAGAUCAAACGAGAUUAGUAUUUCUCAGUGUAAGGCAUUUUUCUAUAUUGUAAUAGUGAUUUGGUUAGUAAUGAGUUGUUACAGUGGAAACAAUGAAGCUUCUGUGAGUCACAGAACCACCAACUAUCAAUCUGUCAAUUAAUACUUUUUUGUGUGUAAAAAGCUGAAGAAUCUGUUUUGAAGGGUAGAUAGAUACGUUAAGAUUUGUGCUUUCAGCUUACGUGAAUGUGCAGACUCGCAGGAUACAUCUUUAGUGUUUAUAUCAUUAUUACUUGAAAAUGUAUUAGUUGUGACUGUUGGUUAAGUCAGUGCCACUAUCAUGUGUUUUCCAA